CGCCUUGGAUGCACUUUGGCGAGUGUGGAAGUUGGAGACGGGCUAACUAAGCGGGUCAUCCUGUCUGGGAUGGCUUAGGGAGUAUAUUUGGCUUUCUCCGGUUGGCCCGAAGUGGGCCAGGGACAAAAAAAUAGCAUUGUCUGCACAUAAUGUGUAGAACCGUACUGCCGUGCCAGCACCUUGAAGAGGCCAGCCCAAGGGGCAAAGUCGCCAUGCUGAGAAUGGCAGAGCAGAAAGAUGGAAAGAACCAGAGUCACCAAAUCAACUAAUACUGCCUGUGGCCAUCUUGGGACUUUUCCUUAUGAUACCAUAAACAACCUUGUUUAUUUUUAUUAUGGAAAACUUCAAACAUACAAGAGUAAGCCAGAGCAAGAGAACGUGUAUACAUGCCAGAGAGGGACAGAGAGAGAGAGGGAGAGAGAAUCCCAAGCAGGAGCCGCACUACCAGCACAGAGCCCAACUCGGGGCUUGAACCCAUGAACCGCGAGAUCAGGACCUGAGCCGAGGUCGAGAGUUGGACCCUCAAAUGACUGCGCCACUGAGGCACCCUGGUGGUCUCCCUGGUUGUCCUUUGGUCUUGAGAACGUCAUCACUCAGUGCUGCUUUUCAUAUUCAGUUCCAGAUGCCAACCACGCCCGUUCGUGUUACAUUGCAGGAUCAUGCUGAGAAGGCCAUGUCUCUUCAACCGGCUCAGCUUGAGGGCUAUGAGGUACCGUCACGCGACCUGGGGAGACUACGGAAAGAAGUGAAGUAGCAAAGAGAGGAACACCGAGCUUGGCAGUCAGGGAUGGGGCAAGAACAGGGAGCACUCUCCCAGCUCUCUGACUCCUCAUAUGCCUUCAAGGUGGGCGGUUUAUUUAUUUAUUUUGAAAGAGAAAGACAGCACAAGAGCACAAGCAGGCAAGGGGCAGAGAGAAAGAGAGAAAAUCCCAAGGACGCUCCGUGCCAUCAGCACAGAGCCUGAUGCAGAGCUUGAACUCACGAACCAUGUGAUCAUGACCUGAGCUGAGAUCAAGUCAGAUGCUUAACCAAUUGAGCCACCUGGGUGCCCCCUGUAAGGGUUAAAUUGUAGUGUAGGGCUAACACCUAGCUUGAAAAAAUAACAGCUUUGUUCCGACACUGAAGGUCAAGAGAUAACAGCCUUGCUUUACUCUUGUAAAUUAUGCUUCAUACUCUUGUAAAUCAGGCUUCACCAACUAAGGAAACAAAAGCUCAAAGAAAAGAGCAUCAGAGGCAAGGUCAAGGAGAUCCACUGGUUGCAACUAAGCGGCAGAAAGUCUAAAAUAAUCACCUCAUCUGGCAACUGUUUCUAACUCAUCUGGGAACUGUUUCUCUGUUCUGUUCCCAGGUGAUGAUAAAACGAUGUGAUCGGCCAUAAAAUUAUCAAGUGUUGGUCCUGAUCGGUCGGCCUUGCCUCUCAUUGCAAUGAACUUUGUUGUGACUGUCACUGGUGUCCAUAGCAUUCAGUUUCAGGAGUCGUGUGGAUGCAACAUUUGGUGCAUUGGCCGGGAAAGUUAAAGGUCUGAAACAGGGAUUGCUCUGCCGACCCCUGGGAGGAAGCUCGGGAUUGGGAGAGGUAAGGAAUUCUUGGGGCGCGCCAUUUGAAUGACUCAGGAGGGUCUGCCUGACGCGGCUAUAGAACCAGAGUCAGGGAUCCUACCGGGACGCCGGUGGACCCCAUUAGGUUUGAUGUUUGUCAAGAAGGAUCCUAUUUUCAGGUGGCUGCGAUGGCCUACUGGCCUUGAGAUCUCGAACUUGUGUUUUCUUCGUGUCUUAAUUGUCUUCUUCCUGUUGACUGGCUGUGCGUCCUUGUCAGUUUUGCCUAUCUUUGUCAUCGUCCUUGUCAGUUUUGCCUAUCUUUGUCAUCGGUCAGAAUCAGACUACCCCCACCCCGCUGAGUCUCAUACUAACCCAUUUCCAGGAGUAUAGGAGAGCUGCCUCAGUUUUCGGCCUCCACGUUAAGAAGCCAGUCCUUCGAACUCUCUGCGAGGUGGAAUGGAACAGCUUUCAGGUCGAAUGGCCUCCACAGGGGACCUUUAACCUUACUUUGGUAUAUAAAGUUCGUGAUAUUGUCUUUUCUAGGCACGAAGACCAAAUCCCAUACACUGGGGCAUGGAGAACCCUCAUUGAAAAACCUCCAGAUUGGUUAAAACUUCUUCCCCUUCCCCCUCGCCUCCCUAAAGUACAGGCUUUGCCACUCAAAGGUCGCCCAUCUGGAGCUCAGAAUAAGAAUCUUGAUGAGACUAAGCGGCCGCCCCCUCUAUCACCUGCACAGGAGGGGGGUAAAAAAAAAGGAACUUACCACCCACCGCCCUAUAGUUCUCGCCCAAAGAAUACAGGUCAAGAUGCUUCAGAUCUGGACACGAGCCGGAGUCGGGACACUCCCCUGAGCCCGUCUCACACCCGGUCAGGGACUCCCUUCCAUCCGCCUCCCGCUGCCCUAUCCCUUCUUCCAGGGCCACCCCUGCACCCCUGCAGGGUGAUGUCCGACCCUUUAUGACUUAUGUACCCUUCUCCACUAGCGACCUUUAUAACUGGAAGCUUCAAAACCCCUCGUUCUCAGAGAAACCCCAAGCAUUAAUUUCUCUUCUUGAAACUCUAUUUGUGACCCAACAGCCAACCUGGGAUGACUGCCGGCAGCUCUUGCAGGUUCUCUUCACCACUGAGGAGCGGGAUAAGAUCCGUCGCGAGGCCCGGAAAUUAGUGAUGGGGCCAAAGGGGCAACCCACCGAGGAUCCCGCUGGAUUCAAGGAAGUUUUUCCUUCCUCGCAUCCUGAAAAUUGGGACCCGAACGCUCCUCACGGUAGCCCUACUGCAAUAUGUUGAGGAUAUCUUGUUGGCGGCCCCCUCUCAUUUAGAAUGCCUGAGUGCCACCAGAGAACCCUUGAGUCUUCUGCAAAAACUGGGGUACCGAGUGUCAGCCAGAAAAGCGCAGAUCUGUCGUACUGCGGUGACCUAUUUAAGUUACAACCUUAAAAAGGUAAGUGCUAUCUCGGUGAACAAAGAAUUCGGGCUAUACUCGAUAUUCCUCAGCCUAAAACUCGCAAACAAGUUCUCGAGUUCUGCGGGCAGCAGGCUACUGCAGAGUAUGGAUACCUGGUUUUGCUGAACUGGCAGCCCCUUUGUACGCCACUCUCACGGGGUCUCCGGAGUCCUUCACGUGGGGGGAGACUCAAACCAAAGCCUUCCAAGCCUUACGAGAGGCUCUCGUGACCCUACCGGCCUCGGCCCUGCCAGAUCCCACCAAGCCAUUCCAUUUGUUUGUAGCCGAAAAGGGGGGGGUAGCCGAGGGAGUUCUGACUCGGAGCCUGGGACCUUGGCGCCGACCGGUGGCCUAUUUAUCCAAGCGGCUGGACCCAGUUGCUUCCGGGUGGCCCCCACGCGUUUGACAAAUUGCCGCCACCGCGCUCUUAGUUGAAGACGCAGACAAACUAACUUUGAGGCAGGCACUGUCACCGGGCCCCACUAAGUGGAGGCUUUACUGCGGGCUCCCCCAGAGCGACGGCUGUCAAAUGCUCGGAUUACCCAAUAUCAAGCGUUGCUACUCGACCAGACCUGAAUACGUUUUUGUGCCCCCACAGCCUUAAACCCAGCCACUCUGCUGCCCGAAGGACAAGGUCCCCCUCUGCACUCCUGCCCAGAAACCUUGGCGACGAUCUCGUCCCUCCGCUCCGAUCUUAUGGACGUUCCUUUACAGGACCCUGAUAUCAGCAUGUUUUCAGGCGGCAGUAGUUUUGUGUUUCAAGGGCAAAGGCACGCCGGGCGCUGCAGUGACGACGGACCGCGGGGUUUUAUGGCAACAGACCCUUCCCCCGGGAACUUCAGCCCAGCACGCAGAGCUCAUCACGCUAACAAAAGUCCUCAAACUCGGAAGAAACAAGCCAGUUCAUAUUUAUAUGGACAGCCGCUAUGCUUUUUGCAACCGCGCAUGUACACGGAUCCAUUUACCAAGAGCGCGGUCUCCUCACGGCGGAAGGCAAGGCCAUCAAAACUGAAGCUGAAAUUUUAGAUCUUCUAGCAGCCAUCUGGGAACCUGCGAGGCUGGCAAUCAUUCACUGCCCGGGACGUCAGAAAGGCGACUCCCUAGAAGCAGUCGGAAACCGCCUGGCUGAUGCAGCAGCCCGAGAAGCUGCCCCAACUAAAAGUAAAAGUGCCUUGGAGCUACCGAUCUUGACCGAGGAAGCCCAGUUACACUCCUAAAGAUUUGGAGUGGGUUUCCAGAAAAGGGGGAAGUGUGGCGCCGGGACAAAAGUGGUCUCAGGAUCCUGAAGACCUCCACCUAUCCUGCCGAGGCUAGGAGGCAACGUAAUGGAACAGUUGGAACAGGUCCGCUUGCUGGCUUCACUCGUGGCCCUGCAACAUGUACAAAAGGAAAUAACCAGGGCCUUAAAAGAAGCCUUCGCUCAUCCUCCUGUUCUUCCCCACCCCUUUCAACCAGGAGAUUUAGUCUGGGUCAAGAGGCACGAGCUUAAAACCCUGGAGCCGCUCUGGAAAGGACCACACGCCGUGAUCCUGACUACACCCACGGCUGUGAAGGUAGAUGGUGUCCGAACCUGGAUUCAUCACUCUCAGGUUAAAAAAAAAAACAACCUGUGUGAAGGCAGGAACACCCGAGACUGAUACAGAACCAGAUAAUGAACAGCAAUGGAAGGUCCGAAGGCACUCAGAGGAUCCUUUAAAGGUGAUGAUAAAACGAUGUGAUCGGCCAUAAAAACUCUGUACCCCAGCUGUUCGAGGCCGCACUCUUAUCAAGAGUGUUGGUCCCGAUCGGUCGGCCUUGCCUCUCAUUGCAGUAAACUUUCUUGUGACUGUCA